rnacentral:rRNA from 1 species
UGCCAAGAAUGUUUCCGUUAAUCAAGAACGAAAGUUAGAGGUUCGAAGGCGAUCAGAUACCGCCCUAGUUCUAACCAUAAACGAUGCCAGCCAGCGAUCCGCCGAAGUUCCUCCGAUGACUCGGCGGGCAGCUUCCGGGAAACCAAAGCUUUUGGGUUCCGGGGGAAGUAUGGUUGCAAAGCUGAAACUUAAAGGAAUUGACGGAAGGGCACCACCAGGAGUGGAGCCUGCGGCUUAAUUUGACUCAACACGGGAAACCUCACCAGGCCCGGACACCGGAAGGAUUGACAGAUUGAGAGCUCUUUCUUGAUUCGGUGGGUGGUGGUGCAUGGCCGUUCUUAGUUGGUGGAGCGAUUUGUCUGGUUAAUUCCGGUAACGAACGAGACUCUAGCCUGCUAAAUAGACGAUUUCCGGUAUCCACAAUAGUGCUACCGGCGAAAUCAAUAUCUUCUUAGAGGGACAGGCGGCUUUCAGCCGCACGAAACUGAGCAAUAACAGGUCUGUGAUGCCCUUAGAUGUCCUGGGCCGCACGCGCGCUACACUGAAGGAAUCAGCGUGUACACCCUGGCCGAAAGGCUCGGGCAACCCGUUGAACCUCCUUCGUGCUAGGGAUUGGGGCUUGCAAUUGUUCCCCAUGAACGAGGAAUUCCCAGUAAGCGCGAGUCAUAAGCUCGCGUUGAUUACGUCCCUGCCCUUUGUACACACCGCCCGUCGCUACUACCGAUUGAAUGAUUUAGUGAGGUCUUCGGACUGGUGCGCGGCGACCGCCUGCGCGGCCGCCGAUGCCACCGGGAAGAUGACCGAACUUGAUCAUU